ACACAAGCGCUUCUUUGGCGGUGGUUCAAUUAAUCUCAGUGUAGAAGUCCGUUUUUUUGUGAUAAAUUUAUUAGAAUACUCUCAGAAUCUCAUGCUAAUCUUUUAUAUUUUACAAAACAGGUUAAUUUUAUCCUUUAUAGAGAAAACUUUGCUAAAAUCUUGGAUGUGUGAGGUCGUUUCUAUAAAGAAUGAAACUAUUAUUUAUACAAAUACCAUUAUAUUUGUCAAUCUAAAAUCACAACCUAUACAAAUCAAUACAUUUAUAUUAUUAAUCUCAUUUUCUUGUAAAUAAAUCAAACCAGUAUUAUUUUAUCAUGCUAUGAUAAUUAUUAUUAUCGACACUAAUUUUAUUUAUUAAUAAUGUUCUACGUCUAUUAUACAGCGCAAUUCAUGGGCAUUUUAUAACUGUAAAUACAUUUAUAUAUAUUGGCCUUUGACAGACAUUGUUCGAAAGACAACUCUAAUCUUGUAUCUCACUUUUAAUUACAAGACAGACUGGGAUGGGAUACCGGUCUAAGGUUUGGCUAGUUAAGUUUCUGUAUAUUUUAACGAUAAAACUGUUUUGAUACAAGCGGUAACAUACAAAUAAAAUAGAGAUACGAUUUUUUGUAGAGUGCGGAACAUGAUUGAUUUUAUAUUCAAACUUAUUAUAGUAGACAAGAUUUUUACCACAAUUUGGUAUUUUGUUACCAGCUUAUAUAUUUUGCGACGUAUCCUAUAAUCACACUAUACAAAGAGAUUAUUUAUAUAGAAAAUUAGCUAAAAACGUACAUACUUUGCUUUGUACUAUUUAUACCUAACUUAUUUAAUGUCCUUUAAUAUACAAAACUCAAUAGUAUGGUAAGCAAUUCUCUCAUUAUUAUUCUAUGUAUUUUCGUCACUUAGAGUCGAAAGUUAUUUUUUAAUUUUGAUCGUUUUCAAAAUUGUGAGAUAAUUGCUAAACGUGAAAUAAACUGACGGGCUAAAAGAGUUACAUAAUGGCAUCUAAAUAACAUAUAGAGGUAGAUUUUCGACUGCUACUUGUAGGGUCUUAGGAACUGAUUUUGUAUCUAAUUCUUUACUCAUGAAUGAACAUCUUAAAAAUGUUAUUCAUACAAUGCACUGUACCACGAGUGCAUAAAGUUCAUUUUUGAAUAACAACGACUGUGGUGCAGCUAUUCAUUGGUGAGUACUGAGAUUGAUUGCUGUGUAUAAUGUGCGACCAACUGUUUUAGACUUAAUUGCGAUAAGCGGAAGGUUGAAUUUCAAAUAGCACUAUUGAAACUAGAGUGAAAUGCUAUACAAGAAAGAAUUUACCGUAAAAUGUGGCGUCGUGAAAGAUAGCGGCUUAACUUAACCUGGCGAGUGGGGCUAAGCAUAUCUGCAGUAACUUAACCCAUUGCAAAUGUUAAGUCAUUCAAUAAUGUACCUUAUUUUAUUAGAACAAGGUGUGCAAUUGAAUGAUUUUACGAAAUUACUUGCCUACCGCAGAUAUCUGACGCCGGUCAGGCCAGGUUACGUCGCUAAUUUGGUAAAAGGCUUGGCCUUUUCGAUAAUCUAGCUAGACGCAACAUAAAUGUGUUGUUUCAUGAAAAAAGACCCUAAGGGCGAAUGGUGCUUGCGAAGCGUCACAUUUGUACUCGAACAUCCGCAACUGCCCUUAUGGUUCCUUUUCCCAUGGAACGACACAAAUGUCCUCUUAUAUAAAAUAGUUUCUAUUGCACUUUUUGCAUUAACACUAAACUUAACCGUUGGCAUAAAUGUGUAAAAACUAGUGUAUAUUUUGAUUAAGGAAGACUUUUUUUAUGAAUUCUCAACUUGUAUUAUAGCAGUAAUUUAUUAAGUAUUUAUUAAUUUUGUUUUCUGCAUUUCGGUUGUUUGUUUUAAGUUAUUUAAUUGGUAUUAUUAGUUAAGGCCUAAUCAUGGCCUACGAUUUUUGGAAUUAUGAUGAUUUACUAAAAUUAUUUGACGAUGCGAUAAUAAACAUGUAUUAAUGAAAUAAAAA